ACACAUGCAGUCGACGGCAGCGGGGAGUAGCUUGCUACUCUGCCGGCGAGUGGCGGACGGGUGAGUAAUGCCUGGGGAGCUGCCCAAUCGAGGGGGAUACCAGUUGGAAACGACUGCUAAUACCGCAUACGCCCUGAGGGGGAAAGGUGGGGAUCUUCGGACCUAUCGCGAUUGGAUGCACCCAGGUGGGAUUAGCUAGUUGGUGAGGUAACGGCUCACCAAGGCGACGAUCUCUAGCUGGUCUGAGAGGAUGACCAGCCACACUGGAACUGAGACACGGUCCAGACUCCUACGGGAGGCAGCAGUGGGGAAUAUUGCACAAUGGGGGAAACCCUGAUGCAGCCAUGCCGCGUGUGUGAAGAAGGCCUUCGGGUUGUAAAGCACUUUCAGUCAGGAGGAAAGGUGGCUAGCUAAUAUCUAGUUGCUGUGACGUUACUGACAGAAGAAGCACCGGCUAACUCCGUGCCAGCAGCCGCGGUAAUACGGAGGGUGCAAGCGUUAAUCGGAAUUACUGGGCGUAAAGCGCACGCAGGCGGCUUGUUAAGUCAGAUGUGAAAGCCCCGGGCUCAACCUGGGAACUGCAUUUGAAACUGACAAGCUAGAGUCUUGUAGAGGGGGGUAGAAUUCCAGGUGUAGCGGUGAAAUGCGUAGAGAUCUGGAGGAAUACCGG
rnacentral:rRNA from 1 species